rnacentral:rRNA from 1 species
AGCAGCCGCGGUAAUUCCAGCUCCAAUAGCGUAUAUUAAAGUUGUUGCAGUUAAAAAGCUCGUAGUUGAAUUUCGGGGUCAGUAGGUUGGUCAUGCCUCCGGUAUGUACUGGUCUCACUGAUUCCUCCUUCCUGAUGAGCCGUAAUGCCAUUAAUUUGGUGUUGCGGGGAAUCUGGACUGUUACUUUGAAAAAAUUAGAGUGUUUAAAGCAAGCUAACGCUUGAAUACAUUAGCAUGGAAUAAUGGAAUAGGACGUUCGAUCCUAUUUUGUUGGUUUCUAGGAUUGACGUAAUGAUUAAUAGGGAUAGUUGGGGGCAUUAGUAUUCAAUUGUCAGAGGUGAAAUUCUUGGAUUUAUUGAAGACUAACUACUGCGAAAGCAUUUGCCAAGGAUGUUUUCAUUAAUCAAGAACGAAAGUUAGGGGAUCGAAGACGAUCAGAUACCGUCGUAGUCUUAACCAUAAACUAUGCCGACUAGGGAUCGGAUGAUGUUAAUUUUUAAUGACUCAUUCGGCGCCUUAC